rnacentral:rRNA from 1 species
AACUCUUCUGAAGUUGACCUCGAAUCAGGUAGGAAUACCCGCUGAACUUAAGCAUAUCAAUAAGCGGAGGAAAAGAAACCAACAGGGAUUGCCCCAGUAACGGCGAGUGAAGCGGCAACAGCUCAAAUUUGAAAUCUGGCUCUCGGGCCCGAGUUGUAAUUUGUAGAGGAUGCUUUUGGUGAGGUGCCUUCCGAGUUCCCUGGAACGGGACGCCAUAGAGGGUGAGAGCCCCGUCUGGUUGGACGCCGAACCUCUGUAAAGCUCCUUCGACGAGUCGAGUAGUUUGGGAAUGCUGCUCUAAAUGGGAGGUAUAUGUCUUCUAAAGCUAAAUACCGGCCAGAGACCGAUAGCGCACAAGUAGAGUGAUCGAAAGAUGAAAAGAACUUUGAAAAGAGAGUUAAACAGUACGUGAAAUUGUUGAAAGGGAAGCGCUUGUGACCAGACUUGGGCUUGGUUGAUCAUCCGGGGUUCUCCCCGGUGCACUCUUCCGGCCUAGGCCAGCAUCAGUUCGCCCUGGGGGAUAAAGGCUUCGGGAACGUGGCUCUCUCCGGGGAGUGUUAUAGCCCGCUGCGUAAUACCCUGUGGCGGACUGAGGUUCGCGC